GCCUUCGUGGCGUAGUGGUCAGUACGUAUUCCAGAGGUCCGUGGUUCAAGUCCCGGCGAGGGUA
rnacentral:tRNA from 1 species